rnacentral:rRNA from 1 species
UGCCUGAUGGAGGGGGAUAACUACUGGAAACGGUAGCUAAUACCGCAUAACGUCGCAAGACCAAAGAGGGGGACCUUCGGGCCUCUUGCCAUCGGAUGUGCCCAGAUGGGAUUAGCUUGUAGGUGGGGUAACGGCUCACCUAGGCGACGAUCCCUAGCUGGUCUGAGAGGAUGACCAGCCACACUGGAACUGAGACACGGUCCAGACUCCUACGGGAGGCAGCAGUGGGGAAUAUUGCACAAUGGGCGCAAGCCUGAUGCAGCCAUGCCGCGUGUAUGAAGAAGGCCUUCGGGUUGUAAAGUACUUUCAGCGGGGAGGAAGGGAGUAAAGUUAAUACCUUUGCUCAUUGACGUUACCCGCAGAAGAAGCACCGGCUAACUCCGUGCCAGCAGCCGCGGUAAUACGGAGGGUGCAAGCGUUAAUCGGAAUUACUGGGCGUAAAGCGCACGCAGGCGGUUUGUUAAGUCAGAUGUGAAAUCCCCCCGG